rnacentral:rRNA from 1 species
ACGGAGGGUGCAAGCGUUAUUCGGAAUUACUGGGCGUAAAGCGCGUGUAGGAGGUCCUGCAAGUCUGAUGUGAAAGCCCCGGGCUUAACCCGGGAAGUGCAUUGGAAACUGUGGGACUUGAGUACUGGAGAGGAUGGGGGAAUUCCCGGUGUAGAUGUGUAAAUCGUAGAGAUCGGGAGGAAUAUCAGUGGCGAAGGCGCCCAUCUGGAAGGUAACUUUCGCUGAGACGCGUAAGCGUGGGGAGGAAACAG